rnacentral:rRNA from 1 species
AUUGAACGCUGGCGGCAUGCUUUACACAUGCAAGUCGAACGGUAGAGGGGGCAACCCCUUGAGAGUGGCGAACGGGUGAGUAAUGCAUCGGAACGUGCCCCGUCGUGGGGGAUAACGCAGCGAAAGCUGUGCUAAUACCGCAUACGAUCUCUGGAUGAAAGCGGGGGACCGAAAGGCCUCGCGCGAUUGGAGCGGCCGAUGUCCGAUUAGGUAGUUGGUGGGGUAAAGGCUCACCAAGCCAACGAUCUGUAGCUGGUCUGAGAGGACGACCAGCCACACUGGCACUGAGACACGGCCCAGACUCCUACGGGAGGCAGCAGUGGGGAAUUUUGGACAAUGGGCGCAAGCCUGAUCCAGCAAUGCCGCGUGCAGGAAGAAGGCCUUCGGGUUGUAAACUGCUUUUGUACGGAACGAAAAGGUCUGGGUUAAUACCCUGGGCACAUGACGGUACCGUAAGAAUAAGCACCGGCUAACUUCGUGCCAGCAGCCGCGGUAA